rnacentral:tRNA from 1 species
GGGUGUUUAGCUCAAUUGGUAGAGCACCUCGCUUACAAUGAGUAGGUUAGUGGUUCGAGUCUACUAACUCCCA